GAUGAAGAACGCAGCGAAAUGCGAUAAGUAAUGUGAAUUGCAGAAUUCAGUGAAUCAUCGAGUCUUUGAACGCACAUUGCGCCCCCUGGUAUUCCGGGGGGCAUGCCUGUCCGAGCGUCAUUGCUGCCCUCAAGCACGGCUUGUGUGUUGGGCCCCCGUCCCAGGUUUCCCCCGGGGACGGGCCCGAAAGGCAGCGGCGGCACCGCGUCCGGUCCUCGAGCGUAUGGGGCUUUGUCACCCGCUCUGUAGGCCCGGCCGGCGCCAGCCGACACCCAACUUUAUUUCUAAGGUUGACCUCGGAUCAGGUAGGGAUACCCGCUGAACUUAAGCAUAUCAAUAAGCGGAGGA
rnacentral:misc_RNA from 1 species